rnacentral:rRNA from 1 species
GGGCCCGCACAAGCGGUGGAGCAUGUGGUUUAAUUCGAUGCAACGCGAAGAACCUUACCAAGCCUUGACAUCCUGCGAAUCUCUUGGAAACGAGAGAGUGCCUUCGGGAACGCAGUGACAGGUGGUGCAUGGCUGUCGUCAGCUCGUGUCGUGAGAUGUUGGGUUAAGUCCCGCAACGAGCGCAACCCACGUCUUUAGUUGCCAGCAUUUAGUUGGGCACUCUAGAGAGACUGCCGGUGAUAAACCGGAGGAAGGUGUGGAUGACGUCAAGUCAUCAUGCCCCUUACAUCCUGGGCUACACACGUGCUACAAUGGACAGUACAAUGGGAAGCGAAGCCGCGAGGUGGAGCAAA